rnacentral:rRNA from 1 species
UACGAAGGGUGCAAACGUUGCUCGGAAUCAUUGGGCGUAAAGCGCACGUAGGCGGCCGAUCAAGUCGGAGGUGAAAUCCCUCGGCUCAACUGAGGAAUUGCCUUCGAUACUGUUCGGCUUGAGUCCUGGAGAGGGUAGCGGAAUUCCCGGUGUAGCGGUGAAAUGCGUAGAGACCGGGAAGAACACCAGUGGCGAAGGCGGCUUUCUGGACAAAAACUGACGCUGAGGCGCGAAAGCUAGGGGAGCAAACGGG